rnacentral:rRNA from 1 species
UUCGAGUGGCGGACGGGUGAGUAACGCGUGGGUAACCUGCCUUACACAGGGGGAUAACACCUGGAAACAGGUGCUAAUACCGCAUAAGCGCACAGGGCCGCAUGGCCCGGUGUGAAAAACUCCGGUGGUGUAAGAUGGACCCGCGUCUGAUUAGCUUGUUGGCGGGGUAGGGGCCCACCAAGGCGACGAUCAGUAGCCGGGCCUGAGAGGGUGGACGGCCACAUUGGGACUGAGACACGGCCCAAACUCCUACGGGAGGCAGCAG